rnacentral:rRNA from 1 species
ACCGGUGAGUGAUGAAGGUCUUCGGAUUGUAAGCUCUUUUAGUGGAGAAGAUAAUGACGGUAUCCACAGAAAAAGCACCGGCAAACUUCGUGCCAGCAGCCGCGGUAAUACGAAGGGUGCUAGCGUUGUUCGGAAUCAUUGGGCGUAAAGCGUGCGUAGGCGGCUUAGUAAGUCGUUUGUGAAAUCCCAGGGCUUAACCUUGGAAUUGCAAUCGAAACUGCUUUGCUAGAGUUUAGUGGGGGAUAGUGGAAUUCCUAGUGUAGGGGUGAAAUCCGUAGAGAUUAGAGGGAACAUCAGUGGCGAAAGCGACUAUCUACGCUAAUACUGACGCUGAGGUACGAAAGCGUGGGGAGCAAACAGGAUUAGAUACCCUGGUAGUCCACGCAGUAAACGAUGAGUGCUAGUUAUCGGGAAUUAAGUCUCGGUGGCGAAGCUAACGCGUUAAGCACUCCGCCUGGGGACCUACGGUCGCAAGACUAAAACUCAAAGGAAUUGACGGGGACCCGAACAAGCAGUGGAUCAUGUGGUUUCAAUUC